ACAAAAAGUAAGUAAGGGCACAUGGCGGAUGCCUUGGCUCUCGGAGGCGAUGAAGGACGUGAUAAGCUGCGAUAAGCUGCGGGUAGGUGCAAAUGACCUUUGAUCCGCGGAUUUCCGAAUGGGACAACCCGGUACUUUGAAGAAGUAUCAUCCUGCAUUGCAGGAGGCUAACGCAGGGAACUGAAACAUCUUAGUACCUGCAGGAAAAGAAAAUAAACAAUGAUUCCCCCAGUAGUGGCGAGCGAACGGGGAACAGCCCAAACCAUCCAUGUUACGGCAUGGGUGGGGUUGUAGGACCACGCCGUGGCAAGAAAGUUGGUGAGCAGAAUGUUCUGGAAAGUACAGCCAUAGAGCAUGAGAGCUGCGUAUGCGAAGCCGACCGAAGCCUAGUGGUAUCCUGAGUAGCGCGGAGCACGAGGAAUUCUGCGUGAAUCUGCCGGGACCAUCCGGUAAGGCUAAAUACUCCCGAGAGACCGAUAGUGAACCAGUACUGUGAAGGAAAGGUGAAAAGCACUUCGAACAGAAGAGUGAAAUAGUUCCUGAAACCAUGUGCCUACAAGCGGUCGGAGCACCUUCUGGUGUGACGGCGUGCCUUUUGCAUAAUGAACCUACGAGUUACUUUUUCCGGCGAGGUUAAGGAUUUCAGAUCUGCAGCCGAAGCGAAAGCGAGUCUGAACAGGGCGUAUAGUCGGAAGGAGUAGACGCGAAACCAAGUGAUCUACCCUUGGGCAGGUUGAAGGAUGGGUAACACCAUCUGGAGGACCGAACCAAUAAGCGUUGAAAAGCUUCUGGAUGACCUGAGGGUGGGGGUGAAAGGCUAAUCAAACUUGGAGAUAGCUCGUACUCCCCGAAAUGCAUUUAGGUGCAGCCUUGACUUAUACUGGCAUGAGGUAGAGCGACUGAUAAGAUGCGAGGGCUUCACCGCCUAUCAAGUCUUGACAAACUCCGAAUGCGUGUCAGUUCUAUGUCAGGAGUGAGGGCAUGGGUGCUAAGGUCCAUGUCCUAAAGGAGAACAAUCCGGACCAACAGCUAAGGUCCCGAAAUGAAUACUAAGUUGAACUAACGAAGUCAGAUUGCUAAGACAGCUAGGAUGUUGGCUUGGAAGCAGCCAUUCAUUUAAAGAGUGCGUAACAGCUCACUAGUCGAGGAGUUUGGCGUGGAUAAUAAUCGGGCAUAAGUAUUCUACCGAAGCUUUGGGAUGAGAAAUCAUCGGUAGGGGAGCAUUCCACUCUGCGUCGAAGGUGA
rnacentral:rRNA from 1 species